GGAUCUGUAGCUUAAUGGAAAAGCUUUGGCUUGUCACGCCAAAAGAUGCCGAUUCGAUUCCGGUCAGUUCCG